UGUGAGUGUUAGGGUGCUGUGUGUGUGUUGGGGUGCUGUGUAUGUGUUAGGGUGAUGUGUGUGUGUGUGUGCUAGGUUGCUGUAUGUGUUAGGGUGCUGUGUGUGUGUGUUAGGGUGAUGUGUCAAUGUUAGGGUGAUGUGUCAAUGUUAGGGUGCUGGUGUUGGGGUGCUGUGUGAGUGUUAGGGUGCUGUGUGAGUGUUAGGGU